rnacentral:rRNA from 1 species
UACGUAGGUGGCAAGCGUUGUCCGGAUUUAUUGGGCUUAAAGGGUGCGUAGGCGGCUUUGUAAGUCAGUGCUGAAAUAUCCCGGCUUAACCGGGAGGGUGGCAUUGAUACUGCAGGGCUUGAGUAAAGUUGAGGUUGGCGGAAUUGACGGUGUAGCGGUGAAAUGCUUAGAUAUCGGCAAGAACACCGAUAGUGAAGACAGCUAACUAAGCUUUAACUGACGCUGAGGCACGAAAGUGUGGGGAGCAAACAGG